rnacentral:lncRNA from 13 species
AGGGACACUGAGUCUGGAGGGACACUGAGUCUGGAGGGACACUGAGUCUGUGUUUUUUCUCUUUUAGAAAAUGAAGUGGUCAACCUAUUGGUUCAGGCUCCAAAACACAACAUUAUUCUUCUACACUAAGAAACAUGGGAGUGCUGUGAGUAUCAGCUGUGAGAAGUCCUUCAAUGUUUUCAGGGGAAGUUGAAUGUUAUUUACACUGUUCAAAGUAGUAAUAGUCUUCUGAUCUUCUCUGUCCCCCACAGUCACACCUAAGAGGCCUGUACUACAUCUACACUGUGCAGUCUGUGCGUGAGAUCCAGAGGGAGAAGCGUAAGCACUACGUGUUUGAAAUCACCAUGAAGAAUGGGAAGAGGAAAGUACUGUCUGCAGAGACAGGGGAUCUGAGGAGGGAGUGGAUUGGCCAGCUGUGGAGGGCCAUGCAUCUCUCAGGCCCAGGGGGUACAGACCCAGGCUGCAUACGACAGCAGGAUGUGAGGUCUGAUGACCUGAAGGCCAGAGGUCGCUUCAGCACCUAUAACAGCUCAGAAUGUGACAGCAUGAUGGAACCACUGGGGGUUCAUCGACCCCUCUAUGCACCCCUCAACCCCUCCACCCCUGACCAAGACCUAAACCAGGGACACAGGAUUACCCAGUGCCUCUCUGGCCCCCUCACCCCUGACCAAAAUCUGGGGCACAGGGCUACCCUCUCUCUCUCCCUCACUGAUGAGCCCAGUAAUGAGGAAGCCAUAUACCAGAACACCAUCUCACAUUAUGGAGAGGAGGAUGAAGACAGUGUCCAUAGAUUUAGAAGGAGAUGUGAGGAGGAGAGAGAUGAAGAAGAGGAGGAAGAGUGUAAGGAGGAAGAGGAUCAGUAUGACAUUCUACCAGCCCCCCGGAACUCUGAGUAUCACAUCAACCAAUCAGAUGAAGACUUGACUGAUGGAGAGGACCUCUAUGACUUCCCACUGUCCAAUAGGAGGGCAAGUGACCGCCAUGAUUAUAGCGAGAUGACAGAGAGCAUCUAUGACGUCCCCAGUUCCCUAAUGAGGAAAAUGUCUGAACACACACUUGAGCCUUACCCUGGAGGUGAGAUACUGGUGGAGGACAGGGGCCUCCUGGAUGACAUGAUGGCCAGUCUGGGUGGAGGGACGGUGGGCUGGAUAACAGGUGCUUCUACUGUGGAGCCCUACGGGCUGGCUCGUCAUGGCUCUUAGGACUGGUAUAUAGUAUAGACUCUGGAUAAUAUAGACUGAAUGAGUUUUCCUCAUUCAAAUUGUUCUAUAAAGCUUGACGCAUUCUGUUAGAGAUUUAAAUAUGUUUACAUUUUAUGAAAAAAAAAUCUCAUUUGUCAUGAUAUUCUAUUCUAUUGACUUCUCUUUUAAUACAAUCUACUGUCAAGGAAAUACCAUAUUAAAUAACUAACUGUAUACUGUCAAAGUGUUCCACUUAGUAUAUAAUGUCAGGAGAGAGGUACUAUAGUAUUCAGGCAGACCCUAUCCUUCUUUUUUAGAAGGUAGAUCAGAUUUAAUACUGCAGAUACAUUGUGGCAUCAUUUCCAAUCACACAUGUAUAUUUUUUGUAAAUAUAUAGAGUAUAUAUUAUUUUAAAUAUAUAUACAUUUUAAAUAUAUUUAGCUUCUUUAUUAUGUUCCCCUCACCCUACCACCCCUCCCUUAAUUGGAGUAAACAAAUGAAAUAGAUUUGACUUCUUUAUUAUGUUCCCCUAACCCAACAAUACUUAGGCUUCCACUUCCAGGUUAUACAUACUACAUACAUUUAAUAGAAAAUAUAUUUUACAUUAGUUAUCUUCUGUUUGUUUUUAGUCCCAGCCUUCAGCUACCAUCAACCCCUCCCAUCUACAGUGAGGGGGAAAAAGUAUUUGAUCCCCUGCUGAUUUUGUACGUUUGCCCACUGACAAAGAAAUGACCAGUCUAUGUUUUGCAGAGGGGUCAAAUACUUAUUUCCCUCAUUAAAAUGCAAAUCAAUUUAUAACAUUUUUGACAUGCAUUUUUGUGGAUUUUUUUGUUGUUAUUCUGUCACUCCCUGUUCAAAUAAACCUACCAUUAAAAUUAUAGACUGAUAAUUUCUUUGUCAGUGGGCAAACGUACAAAAUCAGCAGGGGAGCAAAAACUUUUUUCCCUCACUGUAUCUUUGAAGACCAUCCAAUUUAGAUUUUUUGAUUUCACCUUUAUUUAACCAGGUAGGCUAGUUGAGAACAAGUUCUCAUUUGCAGCUGUGAUCUGGCCAAGAUAAAGCAAAGCAGUUUGACACAUACAACAACACAGAGUUACGCAUGGAAUAAACAAACAUACAAUCAAUAAUACAGUAAUACAAUACAUUUCUGGNNNNNNNNNNGCAGUCUGCAGAGACAGGGGAUCUGAGGAGGGAGUGGAUUGGCCAGCUGUGGAGGGCCAUGCAUCUCUCAGGCCCAGGGGGUACAGACCCAGGCUGCAUACGGUAACAGAAAGCUCAGGAUUAUUGAGACACUACUGCACUGUUUGUCAUUACAUUACACUAGUAAUUUAUCAGGAGCUCAUA